AGGCCAGAGGCUCACAGGGUCAACCCAUGUCUCCAGGCAGGCCAGAGGCUCACAGGGUCAACCCAUGUCUCCAGGCAGGCCAGAGGCUCUAUGGUCUGAAGAGCUGCUGCGUCCAGUAGAACAGGAGGAAGGAAGGGGAGGAACCUCUCAGCUCUCUCAUUACCCCAUGAGGGAUCAGAGCGAAGGCACUGGGCAGGCUGAGGCUCCUACUCACCCCAGGGAAGAGCGAGGGCCUGGAUAGGGGAGAGGGCCAUAUCAGACCUCUUCAUAUCAUCUGGCCUCAUUGGUGGUUGACACUAGUGUCUAUUCCUGGGAUGCUCUGAAGGAGGACUUCAGGAGUCUGCUGGCAUGCGAAGAGGACCACCAUCCCUGACAGACAGAGACUGAAACUGGGCCUAAGGCGAGGCAGGUCAGGCAGUAGCCUCCAGUCUCCACAGAUCUGCUCAGAAGUGGCAGAAUGAGAUGGAUUUAAAGGUUGAUGGAAAGUCUGAAGUGUAGCGAAGGAGGGAGAGUCUCGGGGGGACGUCGUCAUAGCUUCCUGACAUGGAGCCACGGGCCACAAACCUGUGGUGGCUUCAGACAGCCUGUCCCCACCACCUCUCUCUCCACUCAGCUCUACUCUUCUCCGCUCGGCUAAAAUCAAAGCCAUGCCUUUUUGGAGACAUUGUGCCGGCUGUAAACGUCCCCCAUCUUCACGUGCGAGAGAGAGAGAGAGUCUUUCAUGUCUACUGUGGUUUCUAUUUGAAAAAAAAGAGAAAAGAAGGAAACAUGUGUAAAGUCUUUCAUGUUUCCCAAAGGCGGUACCACCUCAUAUAUCCGGUUGUAUCCAUUUAUAUCCUUUGUACUGGAGAGGACGUGGGGCUGCAAAUCGACGUCCGUCCGUCCCCCCCACCACUCCUAACAGAGUUGCAGCCAAGUUGUGGGUUGAAAUGCUAUUCUCUACCUCCCCACCUGCCAGACCUGGAGUCUCCCUGAAAGCCUGCUGAAGUACCUAAACAGUAUAUUUCUUUGUCUGCUGGUGUCAAUGCAUGUUUCUCUGUUUGCUCUCUGAUUUCUUGUAAAUACCACUGC